GAUGAACGCUGGCGGCGUGCCUAAUACAUGCAAGUCGAACGAAACUUCUUUAUCACCGAGUGCUUGCACUCACCGAUAAAGAGUUGAGUGGCGAACGGGUGAGUAACACGUGGGCAACCUGCCCAAAAGAGGGGGAUAACACUUGGAAACAGGUGCUAAUACCGCAUAACCAUAGUUACCGCAUGGUAACUAUGUAAAAGGUGGCUAUACUACCGCUUUUGGAUGGGCCCGCGGCGCAUUAGCUAGUUGGUAGGGUAAAGGCUUACCAAGGCAAUGAUGCGUAGCCGGAUUGAGAGGUUGAUCGGCCACAUUGGGACUGAGACACGGCCCAAACUCCUACGGGAGGCAGCAGUAGGGAAUCUUCCACAAUGGGCGAAAGCCUGAUGGAGCAACGCCGCGUGGGUGAAGAAGGUCUUCGGAUCGUAAAACCCUGUUGUUAGAGAAGAAAGUGCGUGAGAGUAACUGUUCACGUUUCGACGGUAUCUAACCGGAAAGCCACGGCUAACUACGUG
rnacentral:rRNA from 1 species